UGGAUACAUCUUAGAAGGAAUUUAUAACCUCAUCUUCAUUGAAAUCAGGGCUAAUCAUGGAAACCUGGUUUGGAGGUGGUCUGUUAUUGUAGUUGGGUAGUGGGUCUCUUUUUGUACUGGGCUAGUUAGGGUCAAUUAGCUUUUCGACAUUAAUUAGGUCUUGGAUUUCGUGUUUUAGGCAAAUGCAAUUGGCAUUGUGGUAUAUGGGUG
rnacentral:lncRNA from 1 species